AUGGGUUUGCUGGUGAAAAUGGUCAACUUGCAACUAUUUAGUGUAGUGGUAUCUGAUGGUGAAAUUAUUCUCACUCAGUCUCCAGCAUCCAUGACCACAUCAUUAGGGGAGAAGGUUACUGUCACCUGCAGUGCCAGCUCAAGUGCAAGUUCCAAUUACUUCCACUGGUACCAGCAGAAGACAGGAGCCUCCCCUAUGCUCCUGGUUUAUGGAACCUCCAACUUGGCUUCUGGAGUCACAGCUCACUUCAGUGGCAGUGGGUCUGGGACAUCACACUCUCUCACAAUCAGCAGCAUGGAGGCUGAAGAUGCUGCCACUUACUACUGUCAUCAGAAGAGCAGUGAACCAUUCACAAAGUUCCACAAAGCAGAACUUUGGCCUUCUCAGAGAAGGCUGCUUCCCUCUUUGAAGAUAUCACAUAGUCAAGAUUUUGACUUAAUUGUGACAAAAAUCUCCAAAUAUUUCUGCAAUGGAAGCAAGAGUCAAAUUUCACUCAAGGGCCUUAAGCCACUUUCCUUGCAAAGAAGUAAAUAUAUAAAUGGAGAUAGUGGGAUGAGACAAUCAGAGACCCCAUCUUUUUGGCAUUCUGUGCAGAGAACUAUUUCAGAGCUGUGA